rnacentral:tRNA from 1 species
AAGGUCGGGGCCGCGGGUUCGAUCCCCGUUUCCCGCUCCAUA